rnacentral:rRNA from 1 species
ACUCAAAGGAAUUGACGGGGGCCCGCACAAGCAGCGGAGCGUGUGGUUUAAUUCGAUGCAACGCGCAGAACCUUACCCAGACUUGACAUGGCCCGGAAAGCCCCGGAAACGGGGACCCCGCAAGGCCGGGUCACAGAUGUUGCAUGGCUGUCGUCAGCUCGUGUCGUGAGAUGUUGGGUUAAGUCCCGCAACGAGCGCAACCCUCGUGGGAUGUUGCAAAUCAUUCCAGACUGCCGGUACAAGCCGGAGGAAGGUGGGGAUGACGUCAAGUCCGCAUGGCUCUUACGUCUGGGGCUACACACACGCUACAAUGGCCGGGACAGAGGGCAGCCACGGGGCGACCCGGAGCGAAUCCCGAAACCCGGUCUCAGUUCAGAUGGCAGGCUGCAACUCGCCUGCCUGAAGGCGGAGUUGCUAGUAACCGCGUGUCAGCAUAGCGCGGUGAAUAUGUUCCCGGGCCUUGUACACACCGCCCGU